rnacentral:misc_RNA from 1 species
GAUGAAGAACGCAGUGAAAUGCGAUAAGUAAUGUGAAUUGCAGAAUUCAGUGAAUCAUCGAAUCUUUGAACGCACAUUGCGCCCCCUGGUAUUCCGGGGGGCAUGCCUGUUCGAGCGUCAUUUCACCACUCAAGCCUCGCUUGGUAUUGGGCAACGCGGUCCGCCGCGUGCCUCAAAUCGACCGGCUGGGUCUUCUGUCCCCUAAGCGUUGUGGAAACUAUUCGCUAAAGGGUGUUCGGGAGGCUACGCCGUAAAACAACCCCAUUUCUAAGGUUGACCUCCGAUCAGGUAGGGAUACCCGCUGAACUUAAGCAUAUCAAUAAGCGGAGGA